UUACAAAACGUCCAAAGAAGGGAGGACGCAACGGGAAAUUACCGAAAUACUUCAGUAGUGUAACAAGCCCGGACAUCUUCAUAUGGUAAGGUCUAUGCCCAGUGUGGGGCUUGAACUCAUGCUCCUGAGAUCAAGACUUGCACGCUCCAC
rnacentral:lncRNA from 1 species